GGGGGGACGGAGAAGGCUAUGUUGGCCGGGCGACGGUUGUCCCGGUUUAAGCGUGUAGGCUGGUUUUCCAGGCAAAUCCGGAAAAUCAAGGCUGAGGCGUGAUGACGAGGCACUACGGUGCUGAAGCAACAAAUGCCCUGCUUCCAGGAAAAGCCUCUAAGCAUCAGGUAACAUCAAAUCGUACCCCAAACCGACACAGGUGGUCAGGUAGAGAAUACCAAGGCGCUUGAGAGAACUCGGGUGAAGGAACUAGGCAAAAUGGUGCCGUAACUUCGGGAGAAGGCACGCUGAUAUGUAGGUGAAGUCCCUCGCGGAUGGAGCUGAAAUCAGUCGAAGAUACCAGCUGGCUGCAACUGUUUAUUAAAAACACAGCACUGUGCAAACACGAAAGUGGACGUAUACGGUGUGACGCCUGCCCGGUGCCGGAAGGUUAAUUGAUGGGGUCAGCGCAAGCGAAGCUCUUGAUCGAAGCCCCGGUAAACGGCGGCCGUAACUAUAACGGUCCUAAGGUAGCGAAAUUCCUUGUCGGGUAAGUUCCGACCUGCACGAAUGGCGUAAUGAUGGCCAGGCUGUCUCCACCCGAGACUCAGUGAAAUUGAACUCGCUGUGAAGAUGCAGUGUACCCGCGGCAAGACGGAAAGACCCCGUGAACCUUUACUAUAGCUUGACACUGAACAUUGAGCCUUGAUGUGUAGGAUAGGUGGGAGGCUUUGAAGUGUGGACGCCAGUCUGCAUGGAGCCGACCUUGAAAUACCACCCUUUAAUGUUUGAUGUUCUAACGUGGACCCGUGAUCCGGGUUGCGGACAGUGUCUGGUGGGUAGUUUGACUGGGGCGGUCUCCUCCUAAAGAGUAACGGAGGAGCACGAAGGUUGGCUAAUCCUGGUCGGACAUCAGGAGGUUAGUGCAAUGGCAUAAGCCAGCUUGACUGCGAGCGUGACGGCGCGAGCAGGUGCGAAAGCAGGUCAUAGUGAUCCGGUGGUUCUGAAUGGAAGGGCCAUCGCUCAACGGAUAAAAGGUACUCCGGGGAUAACAGGCUGAUACCGCCCAAGAGUUCAUAUCGACGGCGGUGUUUGGCACCUCGAUGUCGGCUCAUCACAUCCUGGGGCUGAAGUAGGUCCCAAGGGUAUGGCUGUUCGCCAUUUAAAGUGGUACGCGAGCUGGGUUUAGAACGUCGUGAGACAGUUCGGUCCCUAUCUGCCGUGGGCGCUGGAGAACUGAGGGGGGCUGCUCCUAGUACGAGAGGACCGGAGUGGACGCAUCACUGGUGUUCGGGUUGUCAUGCCAAUGGCACUGCCCGGUAGCUAAAUGCGGAAGAGAUAAGUGCUGAAAGCAUCUAAGCACGAAACUUGCCCCGAGAUGAGUUCUCCCUGACCCUUUAAGGGUCCUGAAGGAACGUUGAAGACGACGACGUUGAUAGGCCGGGUGUGUAAGCGCAGCGAUGCGUUGAGCUAACCGGUACUAAUGAACCGUGAGGCUUAACCUUACAACGCCGAAGGUGUUU
rnacentral:rRNA from 1 species